CAGAAUGUGACUAUGCAAAGUGACAUAUAGCUCUUUUGGCUAUAUUUACUUAGAAAAACUAGAUGCGUACAUACUGCCACAAUGAAAUCUGCACCUGCACUUUCUUCAGAAUGGUUUGGGUUCAAGCUGUAAAAACAUUCUCUGUGAACAGCAAGGACCUUUACAUUAAAAUAACAACUCAGACUGCUCAAAUCACCCAAUUGCAAAUGCACUUUGAUCAAACAAUGACUCAAGGAGACUCAGAGAUUACUUCUGGAGGGAACGACACGACAAAUUGAUCAGUGCUGUCACUGAUAUGCUUUUUUGUUCAAGAAACUAUGUUCUCAGAGUUCAUCAGCAAUAAAAU
rnacentral:lncRNA from 1 species